rnacentral:rRNA from 1 species
GUAGGGGGUUUGUUAAGCGAAUAGUGAAAUCUGGUGGCUCAACCAUUCAGGCUAUUAUUCGAACUGGCGAACUUGAGAGUGGUAGAGGUAACUGGAAUUUCUUGUGUAGGAGUGAAAUCCGUAGAUAUAAGAAGGAACACCAAUGGCGUAGGCAGGUUACUGGACCAUUUCUGACACUGAGGCACGAAAGCGUGGGGAGCGAACCGGAUUAGAUACCCGGGUAGUCCACGCCGUAAACUAUGGAUACUAGCUGUUGGAGGUAUCGACCCCUUCAGUAGCGAAGCUAACGCGUUAAGUAUCCCGCCUGUGGAGUACGGUCGCAAGACUAAAACAUAAAGGAAUUGACGGGGAGCCGCACAAGCGGUGGAUCGUGUUCUUUAAUUCGAUGAUAAACGAAAAACCUUACCAGGGCUUGACAUCCAGAGAAGCACUACGAAAGUAGAGUGUGCCUUUGGGAACUCUGUGACAGGUGAUGCAUGGCCGUCGUCAGCUCGUGUCGUGAGAUGUUUGGUUAAGUCCAUUAACGAGCGCAACCCUUGUGAAUAGUUGUAUUUUUCUAUUCAAACUGCCCCGGUAACGGGGAGGAAGGAGGGGAUGAUGUCAGGUCAGUAUUUCCCUUAUGUCCUGGGCUAGAAACACGAUACAAUGGCUAGUACAAUGCGCAGCGAAGCCGCGAGGUGGAGCAAAUCGCAUCAAAGCUAGUCCCAGUUCGGAUUGGAGGCUGAAACUCGCCUCCAUGAAGUUGGAAUCGCUAGUAAUCGCAGAUCAGCAAGCUGCGGUGAAUACGUUCCCGGCUCUUGUACACACCGCCCGUCAAACCAUGAAAGUGACCAACACCCGAAGUCCGAUUCGUCGGCCUAAGGUGGGGGGCAUGAUUGGGGUU